rnacentral:rRNA from 1 species
ACCCCCCCGAAGGAUCAUUACCGAGUGCGGGUCCUUUGGGCCCAACCUCCCAUCCGUGUCUAUUGUACCCUGUUGCUUCGGCGGGCCCGCCGCUUGUCGGCCGCCGGGGGGGCGCCUCUGCCCCCCGGGCCCGUGCCCGCCGGAGACCCCAACACGAACACUGUCUGAAAGCGUGCAGUCUGAGUUGAUUGAAUGCAAUCAGUUAAAACUUUCAACAAUGGAUCUCUUGGUUCCGGCAUCGAUGAAGAACGCAGCGAAAUGCGAUAACUAAUGUGAAUUGCAGAAUUCAGUGAAUCAUCGAGUCUUUGAACGCACAUUGCGCCCCCUGGUAUUCCGGGGGGCAUGCCUGUCCGAGCGUCAUUGCUGCCCUCAAGCCCGGCUUGUGUGUUGGGUCGCCGUCCCCCUCUCCGGGGGGACGGGCCCGAAAGGCAGCGGCGGCACCGCGUCCGAUCCUCGAGCGUAUGGGGCUUUGUCACAUGCUCUGUAGGAUUGGCCGGCGCCUGCCGACGUUUUCCAACCAUUCUUUCCAGGUUGACCUCGGAUCAGGUAGGGAUACCCGCUGAACUUAAGCAUAUCAAUAAGCGGAGGAAAAGAAACCAACCGGGAUUGCCUCAGUAACGGCAGGGGAAAAA